rnacentral:rRNA from 1 species
CCUACGGGUGACUGCAGUGGGGAAUAUUGGUCAAUGGACGCAAGUCUGAACCAGCCAUGCCGCGUGCAGGAAGACGGCUCUAUGAGUUGUAAACUGCUUUUGUACGAGGGUAAACUCAGAUACGCGUAUCUAUCUGCACGUGUCGUACGAGUAAGGCUCGGCUAACUCCGUGCCAGCAGCCGCGGUAAUACGGAGGGUUCAAGCGUUAUCCGGAUUUAUUGGGUGUAAGGGGUGCGUAGGCGGUCGGAUAAGUCAGAGGUGAAAUCCCGCGGCUCAACCCCGGAACUGCCUCUGAAACUGUUGGGCUGGAGAGUAGGUGAGGUAGGCGGAAUGGCUGGUGUAGCGGUGAAAUGCGUAGAGAUUAGAAAGAACACCAGUGGCGAAGGCAGCUUACUAAGCU